CCCCAAUUUAGGCAUGUGUCUAUCCGCAUUGCAUGGCAAUUGAAUAUCCUUUUUAUAAAAUAAUUACAUUUGAUGAAUUAAUGACCUCCAACUCCAAAAUAGGAGGAACAGAGUCACAGAUAAUUGUGACUUGUAAUUCCAAAACAAGUUCACAAUUAAAGUUAGUUACAGGUUCAUGCACUUGCCACAAAUUAUAGUAAUCCAACAAUGUAAGCCUGUAAAAUGCUACAUGUGUAUACUAGACACAGCAAGUGAAUUAAAACCUAUGGUGUCGAUAGUGCCGG